GUCCAGCCGACGAGUCUUAAAUAGAACGAAAAGCGCAUCCUGGAU
rnacentral:hammerhead_ribozyme from 1 species